rnacentral:lncRNA from 1 species
CUGGAACUUGGCUCACUGAUAGCAAUGAAGAUGAUGGGCUCCUGAUGCACUGGACACCAGAAUGAUGGCACUUAAGGGCGGAAUGACAAAAUCAGAGUGGCAGCUAACAGGACCUGACUUUUAGGGAGUUGUAGGGAUUGUAAAUAGCACACAGUUUCUCUAGGAAGAACAUAGACGCGUGGGUAGUCAAAAAGUCCAAAUGGCCCUCAACAUAUGAUUUUUCUGCCUCACCAUGGUGUGCAUUCAGUAGAAACUGCACUUUG